rnacentral:rRNA from 1 species
UCUACUAAGAGUUUGAUCCUGGCUCAGGAUGAACGCUAGCGGCGUACCUAAAACAUGCAAGUCGCGCGCUUGUAAAAGCGCGGCAAACGGGUGAGUAACGCGUGGGAAUCUGCCCCGAACUGGGAAAUACCCCGCCGAAAGGUGGGUUAAUGUCCCAUAGUCUCCGCCUUUGGCGGAGUAAAGCUCCGGCGGUUCGGGAGGAGCCUGCGUCCUAUCAGCUUGUUGGUAGGGUAAAAGCCUACCAAGGCAAUGACGGGUAGGGGGUGUGAGAGCAUGGCCCCCCACAACGGCACUGAGACACGGGCCGUACACCUACGGGUGGCAGCAGUUAGGAAUAGUACGCAAUGGGCGAAAGCCUGACGUCGUGACGCCGCGUGGAGGAAGAAGGCCUCCGGGUUGUAAACUCCUUUUCUGCAGGAAGAUUAUGACUGUACUGCAGGAAUAAGCAUCGGCUAAUUACGUGCCAGAAGCCUCGGUAAUACGUGGGAUGCGAGCGUUAUCCGGAAUUAUUGGGCGUAAAGAGCGCGUAGGCGGCCAAGAAAGUCCGACCUUAAAACUAGCGGCUUAACCGCUAAGAUGGGUCGGAGACUUUUUGGCUUGAGCAUUUGCAGGGGCAAGCGGAAUCUGCGGUGUAGGGGUAAAAUCCAUUGAUAUCGCAGAGAACACCAAUGGCGAAGGCAGCUUGCUAGGCAUUGUCUGACGCUGAGGCGCGAAAGCGUGGGUAGCGAACGGGAUUAGAUACCCCGGUAGUCCACGCCGUAAACUAUGCGAACUAGGUAUUGGGAUAAUCGACCGUCCUGGUACCGAAGCUAACGCGUUAAGUUCGCCGCCUGGGGAGUACGAGCGCAAGCUUAAAACUCAAAGGAAUUGGCGGGGGCUCGCACAAGCGGUGGAACAUGGGGUUUAAUUCGACAGUAAGCGGAGAACCUCACCAAGGUUUGACAUCUACGGAAUCCCCGAGAAACCGGGGAGUGCCCGCAAGGGAGCCGUAAGACAGGUGCUGCACGGUCGUCGUCAGCUCGUGGCUUGAGUUGUUCCGUUAAGUCGGGAAACGAGCGCAACCCCUAUCGUCUGUUAAAUUUCUCAGGCGAGACUGCCUCGGCAACGGGGAGGAAGGUGGGGAUGACGUCAGAUCAGCGUGGCCUUUAUACCUUGGGCAACACCCGUGUUACAAUGGCCGUUACAGAGGGUCGCAAUAUCGCGAGAUGGAGCUAAUCCCCAAAAACGGUCCAAGUUCGGAUUGAAGUCUGCAAUUCGACUUCAUGAAGCCGGAAUCGCUAGUAACCGUGGAUCAGCUACGCCACGGUGAAUACGUUCUCGAGCCUUGCACACACCGCCCGUCAAGGCAGGAAAGCCGGCAAUGCCUGAAUCCCGCAUUUUGCGGGACACGGCAGGGUCGGUGAUCAGGCCUAAGUCGUAACAAGGUAUCCGUAGGGGAAUCUGCGGAUGGAUCACCUCCUUU